rnacentral:rRNA from 1 species
UGGGGAAUAUUGGGCAAUGGGGGAAACCCUGACCCAGCAACGCCGCGUGAGUGAAGAAGGCCUUUGGGUUGUAAAGCUCUGUCGCAGGGGACGAAACAAAUGACGGUACCCUGUGAGGAAGCCCCGGCUAACUACGUGCCAGCAGCCGCGGUAAUACGUAGGGGGCGAGCGUUGUCCGGAAUUACUGGGCGUAAAGGGUGCGUAGGCGGCUUGUUAAGUUGGAUGUGAAAUACCCGGGCUCAACCUGGGGGGUGCAUUCAAAACUGGCAGGCUAGAGUGCAGGAGAGGGAAGCGGAAUUCCUAGUGUAGCGGUGAAAUGCGUAGAUAUUAGGAGGAACACCAGUGGCGAAGGCGGCUUUCUGGACUGUAACUGACGCUGAUGCACGAAAGCGUGGGGAGCAAACA